GCCACCGCCGAGGAGGACAGGUGUUGCUACGGAUAUACACGUGCCACCAGGCACAAGGAGCCGGCUGCCCCCGGCACCCCGCCCCGGCCCCGACCCGAGCCCGCCAGCAGAUCCCCGGCAGGGCCCGCCGCUCACCGGUUGGCACGCCCAGCUCCUUGGAGCCCCUGCCGAAGCCCUUCACCACCUCCCCGCGGCAGAAGUACGGCAGGUGCCUCAUGGCGGCAACGGAGCGCCCCGCGCUGCCGGCCGCCCCCAGCCUCGCAGAACCCGGCCUCGCGCCGCCGCUUCCGGCCGCGGCCGCAGCGCCCGCCUCACCGCGGGCACCACCACGCGGAGGACGGGGGGGGCGGCGCCGGACUCGGAGCGUUGGGACGCGCCGGCAGGCCUCGGCCUCCCCUCGGCGAUGGGCUCGUCCGCUGCCUCGCCGCCGGCCCCGCCCCUCGCCGCCCGCCGCCGUCGGUGCCGGUUCCCCUGCGGUCCGGCGGCCGCCCGCUCCGCGAGGCAGGUGGGACGGGCCGCUGGCGGCACCGAGGCACGGCGCUGCUGGCCGAGGCUGCCGCGCGUAAACGUGCCCUGGGGGCGGCGCGGGCCGUGCUGCCGCCUUCCUGCCGCGCCCCGCGUCACUUCACGUGCGCCCAGGCGGCGGGCGCCCAUUUCCUUCUGCUCUGCUCUUCGCGUGUGCUUUUUCUCACAGAAAACCGCAGGUUUGUGGCUUACGCAGCAGGACGGCGAUGCUACGCGUAGCCGCGUUGACACAAAAGCACAUAAAUUCGCUGAGGCGAACGACCGUCCUCCUGAGCGCCGUCGCUCGUUUUGCCGUUCUGAUCUCCCAGUCAGGGAAGCUUUCCCGGACCUACGUCUGGUUCUAUCAGCUGGUUUCUCACGGGGGAAAGCCACCCAAGCACCUGUGGCCUGCCCAUACCUACUGGCAGCCCAGCGGCAGCUGCUCAGUACUAGGAGCUGCUUGCAUGAUACUCUGGUUACAGCCCGAUGGAGAGUCCUGAAGGCCACCGGUUCACCCAUUCACAGCGUCUGUGGGCACUGAUUGCUCCGCAGGAUAAGGGCAAAAUGAUUUCUAGCUUUUUUGAUUCUACAUCAAAUUUACCCCCUCUUCCUAUUUCUUUCUUCUCACAUCACAGUUUUCUGCCAUCCGUUUAUUGCUAACAUCUUAAUUCGUUACGCCAGCUUGAGCAACUUUGGCUCACGCGAUUGUUACUAGUACAACCACAGCUGAGCAGAACAGAAUGAAAAAGAAAGGAAAGCAGAAAUAAAAAGAUACUAAAGACAGUAGCACUGUGUACAUUCUGUUCUGCUGUCUGGCAGCAUGCAGAGGGAAGUGUCACAAAAAGGUUUGUCUUCUGAUGUUUGGUUAUGAAGAAACUCUUAUUCAGUUACCUAUCUAAAGGUGGACCACGAGAGUCAACACUGUGACACUCUGCCCCCUGGAAUUUUUAGGUUAUUUAUCUGUAGAGCAAAACAGAUAAAACAGAAACCCUAUAAAGCAAAUAAAUGUGUAUCGUUCAUCAUAUGUUUCUUCCUGGCAAUAACAAACAAUAUCUUGGGUUACGAUCUGUAUAUAUGCAGAUGAAUACUUGUGUCCUAUCAUUCAUUCUGUUAUUCGUGUGAUGUCCACAAGAUGUCAUCCAGUCUUCUUCAGUAUUUGCAGAUUUGGGCCAAGCAUGUGCAGUCUCAGUAACAGAACAGAUCUUCAGACAGUCAGAAGCUGUAGGUUUCUGUGAUCCAGCUAUGAACUGCCCCUCACACUGGACAUCUCUCUCCUCUGAUAUACGUUGUACUUAGUUCAGAUUGGAGGGACGAUUUUGUAAGGCUGAAGGGGCAUCUUUAAUUUUCAAGCUGCAAGGAGGAAAGCAACAACAUCAGAAAGAGAAGAUGGAAAUGGUGGUCCCAGUGACUCAUCUUGAGGAAGGAGAAAACAUGAGGAGGCACUAUAAGGACAUCUGCUGGAGCACCUCGUGCUGGCCUUUGCUGUGUGAGGGUGAAUGUUGUGACAGAGACAACUUUGCAACCUGUAAGGGAGGAGGAUCCUCUCCAAGUACAAUUUUUUUUUUCCUUCUAGUGCAGUUUGGAAGUGAGGUUUCCUGCACUUACAGGGAGAUAAGAUUCACUGUCUGUAUUCCUCUUUUUCUGCCACCUUAUUAAAACAGCUGUUUUAUUAAGCCA